UCGACGGUGAGGGACGAAAGCGUGGGUAGCGAACAGGAUUAGAUACCCUGGUAGUCCACGCCGUAAACGAUGGUCACUAGCUGUUUGGACUUCGGUCUGAGUGGCUAAGCGAAAGUGAUAAGUGACCCACCUGGGGAGUACGUUCGCAAGAAUGAAACUCAAAGGAAUUGACGGGGGCCCGCACAAGCAGCGGAGCGUGCGGUUUAAUUCGAAGAUACGCGAAGAACCUUACCAGGGCUUGACAUGGCGCUGACCGACUACGAAAGUAGUUUUCCCUUCGGGGCGGCGUCACAGGUGCUGCAUGGUUGUCGUCAGCUCGUGCCGUGAGGUGUUGGGUUAAGUCCCGCAACGAGCGCAACCCUUGCCGUGUGUUGUAUUUUUCACACGGGACUGCCUGGCGAAACCAGGAGGAAGGCGAGGACGACGUCAAAUCAGCAUGGCCCUUACGCCCUGGGCUACUCGCACGCUACAAUGGAUGGUACAGACCGUCGCGAUACCGCGAGGUGGAGCUAAUCGGACAAAACCAUCCUCAGUACGGAUUGCAGGCUGCAACUCGCCUGCAUGAAGCCGGAGUUGCUAGUAAUCGUAGGUCAGCCAUACUACGGUGAAUACGUUCCCGGGCCUUGUACACACCGCCCGU
rnacentral:rRNA from 1 species